rnacentral:rRNA from 1 species
GAUGAACGCUGGCGGCGUGCCUAAUACAUGCAAGUCGAGCGAACGGACGAGAAGCUUGCUUCUCUGAUGUUAGCGGCGGACGGGUGAGUAACACGUGGAUAACCUACCUAUAAGACUGGGAUAACUUCGGGAAACCGUAGCUAAUACCGGAUAAUAUUUUGAACCGCAUGGUUCAAAAGUGAAAGACGGUCUUGCUGUCACUUAUAGAUGGAUCCGCGCUGCAUUAGCUAGUUGGUAAGGUAACGGCUUACCAAGGCAACGAUGCAUAGCCGACCUGAGAGGGUGAUCGGCCACACUGGAACUGAGACACGGUCCAGAGUCCUACGGGAGGCAGCAGUAGGGAAUCUUCCGCAAUGGGCGAAAGCCUGACGGAGCAACGCCGCGUGAGUGAUGAAGGUCUUCGGAUCGUAAAACUCUGUUAUUAGGGAAGAACAUAUGUGUAAGUAACUGUGCACAUCUUGACGGUACCUAAUCAGAAAGCCACGGCUAACUACGUG